AUUGAACGCUGGCGGCAGGCCUAACACAUGCAAGUCGAGCGAGCGGCGGACGGGUGAGUAAUGUAUGGGGCUCUGCUCGAUAGAGGGGGAUAACUACUGGAAACGGUGGCUAAUACCGCAUACUAUCGGCUGAACCCAUAGGGGAUUAGCUAGUAGGUGGGGUAAAGGCUCACCUAGGCGACGAUCUCUAGCUGGUCUGAGAGGAUGAUCAGCCACACUGGAACUGAGACACGGCCCAGACUCCUACGGGAGGCAGCAGUAGGGAAUAUUGCACAAUGGGCGCAAGCCUGAUGCAGCCAUGCCGCGUGUGUGAAGAAGGCCUUAGGGUUGUAAAGUACUUUCAGCAGGGAGGCGUUACCCGCAGAGAAAGCACCGGCUAACUCCGUGCCAGCAGCCGCGGUAAUUC
rnacentral:rRNA from 1 species